rnacentral:lncRNA from 1 species
AGUUUUUCAUGUUUUUAAUCCUCCAAGUUUUUGAGAUCGAGAGUCAAUUCCUGCUCGAAGAACAUGUAUAUAGCUUCCAUUUGCCAUCAGCUGGGUCCUCCCAUCAAAAUAAAUGGAAGCAGAAAAUGCUUUAGUGAAACAAAGGAAAUGUGCAAGCAUUUUUUCUUUUUCUAUUUUCCUACUUCCCCCUUUUCCUUCUGGUUCUCUUAUAACCUGAACCUCAGACGAAGGACUGCAACAACACCAGGAUGGGGAGCGGGUCACCCGGAUCAAAGCGCAAUCAAGAUGACAUCACUCCCUGGAACUGCAUUUCGACUCCCCAACUCCCGGCCUCAUAACAGGAACUCAUGCAGUGUUUCAGGUGCCUUAAGGCAUGGAGCUCCUUGAAAGAGAAACACAAAUCACGAAAAAUGUUGAGAUAAAAUCCUGCUCCUCAGAGGCGCCUGUUUGGCACAGGGAGCGCAUGAUAACAGCUUGCUUUAGAAAGGUGACAUUUCUGCUGAAGGCUGAAUAAUAAAAAAUGCAUUUAAAAAAACUCAGCUCUUCCGUGUCUUCUGACGAUUGACUUUUGAAGUGAAGGCCAUUUCUUCGAUGUGAAGGGUCCGUUUUGAGGCUAGCCUCUCCAGCCCCCAGACAAGGGCCUAUUAACUCAUGUCAUCACUGAUGAGACUGAGGAACUUUUAAAGUUUAUCACAUAAUAGGGCUGUUAGUCUUCUUUUCAAGGUGCAAACACUGAGUGCUCAGAAUGUGUCAAGCACUGUGGAGGCAUUGAGGGGCAGAGACAGAUGAAAAACAGGUGAUCCCUGCCCUCAGGAUAUAGGUCAUUGGCCACCAGAGUGCAUAGACUUCCAUUAUUCUCUAUCUUCCCGACAACCAAACAGUUGGACAGGGCAAGUGAUGUGCUCUGUGUUUUACAAAUGGAGAAACUCAAAUCCCAAGAAGUGGAUUUGCCCCGGUUGGCAUGACAAGCUAAUAAGAGCCGUGAUUGGAAACAGUAGUUGUAGUUCUGCUUCAUUGAGUGGAGGUGCACUGGAUUCUUAGGUUACGAACUCUGAGAGGCAGGAGCUGUGUCUUUAACUUUUUGCAACCUGUCCCGAAUUAGCAACCUCCACUCAUGCGUGACCCCCUUUCUAACAUCUCUCCCAGACACACACACACACAACACACACGCACGAUGUAUAUAUACACACAUGUAUACACACACAUAUAUGUAUGUAUGAUGUAUGUAUUUAUAAAUGCAGG